rnacentral:rRNA from 1 species
CGCGUAGGUGGUAGUGUAAGUCUGAGGUGGAAUCCCAGGGCUUAACCCUGGAACUGCCUUGGAAACUGCAUUACUUGAGUCAGUGAGGGGAGGGUAGAAUUCCUGGUGUAGCGGUGAAAUGCGUAGAUAUCAGGAGGAAGGCCUGUGGCGAAGGCGGCCCUCUGGUGCUGGACUGACACUGAGGCGCGAAAGCGUGGGGAGCAAACAGGAUUAGAUACCCUGGUAGUCCACGCCCUAAACGGUGGGCACUAGGUGUAGGGCUCGUAAGGGUUCUGUGCCGAAGGGAACCAUUAAGUGCCCCGCCUGGGGAGUACGGCCGCAAGGUUGAA